rnacentral:rRNA from 1 species
UACGUAGGGCGCAAGCGUUUGUCCGGAAUUAUUGGGCGUAAAGAGCUCGUAGGCGGCUUGUCACGUCGGGUGUGAAAGACCGGGGCUUAACCCCGGUUCUGCAUUCGAUACGGGCUAGCUAGAGUGUGGUAGGGGAGAUCGGAAUUCCUGGUGUAGUGGUGAAAUGCGUAGAGAUCGGCAGGAACACCCAGGGGGAAACCAGCCAACUGGGCAUCUACUGACGCUGAGGUGCGAGAGCGUGGGGAGCGAACCGG